GCACUGCUGAGGAGUCCCAUCAUGGGACCAAACAGCCGUCCAGUGC
rfam:Schistosoma haematobium scaffold451_3, whole genome shotgun sequence.